CACCUGGGCAGAGCAGAGCCCAGAGCCGGCUCAGGGGCAGUAAACUGAGCUUCACCUCAGCCACAGCCCUGGCUAGGAUUAAUGAAACAAAGAGGAGGAAACUUGUAAACACGAACUUCCUGUUGACACGAGCUGUAAAUCUGCAAAUAGGCUCUGCUUCCGGCAGGAGGGGAAGUCACCCAAACACAGAUGCAAUGCUAAUAGAAGCCAGUUGGAGAAUGUCAAAACCCUGAUGACUCCAAAACGAUGCCUCAUUGCUUGUUUUCCCCUUUCCUUUCUCACUGCCUCUCCCACCACUGAGCUGAUCUUCAGUUUUGGGGCGUUAACUCUGUUUUACAUCCACACCAGGCAUUUUGGGCACGGGGCUGUGGAUGAUCUCCAGUCCUCUCCGCUGACCUCUGGCCGUCUCGCUCGGGCUGCCUGAGCCUUGGCUCCGUGCCCCGAGCGCAGCCUCGCCGAGCGCUCCGGGCAGGAUGGGAGGCACAUGGCAGCGGUGAAAGGGGAGCCUCUCGCCCUCCCUGUGCCUGGGUGGGCGUGCUGGGCCUUUCGUAAACUAAUAGCUCCCAGCAGUGCUCCUAAAUCAGACUUUGUGGAGCCGGGAGCGCGGCGCUGGAAUGCCGGGCCAGGCGCAAAGGGCUGCGCUGCGCUCUUUCUUCUUUUUUCUCUCCCCAAAGCCAGAGUUUGUUAGGUCUAAAGGGUCAGUGGGGAGCGGGAGAAGGGAGCUGGCAAAGAAAAUAUGGGUAAAAAAAUAAAUGUAGGAAAAUCUAGC